rnacentral:rRNA from 1 species
UGAGGAAUUUUGCGCAAUGGGAGCAAUCCUGACGCAGCAACGCCGCGUGGGUGAUGAAGGCCUUCGGGUCGUAAAGCCCUGUCAGGUGGGAAGAAUGUCCCGGGACUGAACAGGUUCCGGGAGUGACGGUACCACCAGAGGAAGCACCGGCUAACUCCGUGCCCGCAGCCGCGGUCAUACGGAGGGUGCAAGCGUUAUUCGGAAUUACUGGGCGUAAAGCGCGUGUAGGCGGUCCAGCAAGUCUGAUGUGAAAGCCCCGGGCGUAACCCGGGAAGUGCAGUGGAAACUGUGGGACUUGAGUACUGGAGAGGAUGGGGGAAUUCCCGGUGUAGAGGUGAAAUUCGUAGAGAUCGGGAGGAAUAUCAGUGGCGAAGGCGCCCAUCUGGACGGUAACUGACGCUGAGACGCGAAAGCGUGGGGAGCAAACA